GACGAACGCUGGCGGCGUGCUUAACACAUGCAAGUCGAACGGAAAGUCCCUGCUUUUGUGGGGUGCUCGAGUGGCGAACGGGUGAGUAACACGUGAGUAACCUGCCCUUGACUUUGGGAUAACUUCAGGAAACUGGGGCUAAUACCGGAUAGGAGCUCCUGCUGCAUUGUGGGGGUUGGAAAGUUUCGGCGGUUGGGGAUGGACUCGCGGCUUAUCAGCUUGUUGGUGGGGUAGUGGCUUACCAAGGCUUUGACGGGGAGCCGGCCUGAGAGGGUGACCGGCCACAUUGGGACUGAGAUACGGCCCAGACUCCUACGGGAGGCAGCAGUGGGGAAUAUUGCACAAUGGGCGGAAGCCUGAUGAAGCAACGCCGCGUGCGGGAUGACGGCCUUCGGGUUGUAAACCGCUUUCGCCUGUGACGAAGCGUGAGUGACGGUAAUGGGUAAAGAAGCACCGGCUAACUACGUG
rnacentral:rRNA from 1 species